GACCUGAUGCACCUGGCAUAUCGAGCCGG
rnacentral:sRNA from 1 species